rnacentral:rRNA from 1 species
AUUGAACGCUGGCGGCAUGCCUUACACAUGCAAGUCGAACGGCAGCACGGGAGCAAUCCUGGUGGCGAGUGGCGAACGGGUGAGUAAAGUAUCGGAACGUGCCCAGUCGUGGGGGAUAACGUAGCGAAAGUUACGCUAAUACCGCAUACGAUCUAUGGAUGAAAGCGGGGGAUCGCAAGACCUCGCGCGAUUGGAGCGGCCGAUAUCAGAUUAGGUAGUUGGUGGGGUAAAGGCUCACCAAGCCGACGAUCUGUAGCUGGUCUGGGAGGACGACCGGCCAACCUGGGACUGAGACACGGCCGAGACUCCUACGGGAGGAAGCAGGGGGAAGUUUUGGACAAUGGGCGAAAGCCUGAUCCAGCCAUGCCGCGUGCAGGAUGAAGGCCUUCGGGUUGUAAACUGCUUUUGUACGGAACGAAAAGGUUUGGCCUAAUAAGCUGAGCUCAUGACGGUACCGUAAGAAUAAGCACCGGCUAACUACGUGCCAGCAGCCGCCGUAA